UGAGACAAUGGAAGCCACAGGUCAGAAUGAUGUACAGCCAUGAAUUAAGAAAUCAUCAGCUUCUAGAAGGUGGAAAAAUCCAGGAAACAUUCUCCCUAGAACCUCCAAAGAUUAAAGAGGAAAUAUACUUCACAUUUGGCUACAGGGUCCAGUACUCUUGGCUUUUCUAUUGCUGGCUUCAUAAGUCACUGGGGUGUUGGCACAAGAAGCACCAGAUAAGGAUAAAGAAAGAGAAGAAGGAAGCCUGGGCUGUAGUGGGACAGAAGGGAAAUGGACAUUUUCUGCAAGUUCUAGAAGACUAACUUUAUUUUCUUCUCUCCUGAACAUCUGACGAGCAUUCUCUAUGCCUAAGGAGGAGUUUUAACAAACAAAUCAAUUGGCUCCAAUCCCUGGGGCAGUAGUUAAUUUCUGGUGCAGAAGUGCACAAUCCAGGAUUCAAAUAACCCCAGAGGAACCCCACAGAAUGCAGCUCAAACAACCCAUAGGCCUCACAGAGGCUGGUUUAAGUGUGUUCUAUUGUCAUUGAAUCACAGAUUUAACUAGAUCUUUAGCCCACAUCUGGGUUAUUUUAAAACGUUGAUCCAACCCACGCUCUGAGUUUCCUCUUCCCUCCUGCAAUGUUUUUUGGACAUUCCAAGGAGAAUCUUCCAUCUUGCUCUAUGACCACCCCAUGUGGCCCAGCUGUGGCCCCAGCAGUCACUAGUCUGAGCUGUGGCCAUUGGUGCUACAGCUGGGCCACAGGUGGGUCAUAGAGCACUACUGCCAUUACCACUGCUAUGAGAAGCCCAGCUUGGACGCCCUCCUACUUCGUGAGUUUACGACAGUGUGCUGCCGUUUUGGCCACUGCUGUUAUUAUUUCCCAAAUGUUGAGUGCUGAAGGCAACCUGGCCUCAGUGGCACUCUAAGAAGGGGACUCACUCUUUCCCUUUGUAUGAUAUGCUCUGCUAGGUGGGGCCCACAGCAGGAAGGCUCAGUCCCCUGAAGUGUUAGGGAGUGUGAGUGCGCUUCCUUCCUUUUUCUAUAGCCUGUAAUAGUAAUAACUCCAGGGAGGUUGCUGGCAAGAUGGCCGAAUAGGAACAGCUCCCGUCUGCAGCUCCCAGGGAAAUCAAUGGAGAAGGCAGGUGAUUUCUGCAUUUCCAACUGAGGUACCCAGUUCAUCUCGCUGGGACUGGUUGGACAGUGGGUGCAGCCCACGGAGGGGGGGGAGCUGAAGCAGGGUGGGGCGUCGCCUCAUCAGAAAAGCGCAAGGGGUCGGGGAAUUUUCUCCCCUACCCAAGGGAAGCCGUGAGGGUCUGAGCCUGAGGAACUCUGUCACAGAUACUGCACUUGUCCCCCGGUCUUCGCAACUCGCAGACCAGGAGAGUCCCUCCGGUGCCUACCCUACCAGGACCCUGAGUUUCAAGCACAAAACUGCGUGGCCAUUUGGGCAGACACUGAACUAGCUGCAGGAGUUCUUUGUUGCCAUACCCCAGUGGCGCCUGGAACGCCAGCAAGAAAGGACCAUUCACUCCCCUGGAAAGGGGUGCUGAAGCCAGGGAGCCAAGUGGUCUGUCUCGGCGGGUCCCACCCCUGUGGAGCCUAGCAAACUAAGAUCCACUAGCUUGAAAUUCUCGCUGCCAGCACAGCAGCAGCCUGAGAUCGACCUGGGAGGGUUUGAGCUUGGUGGGGGGAGGGGCUUCCGCCAUUGCUGAGGCUUGAGUAGGCAGUUUUACCCUCCCAGUGUAAACAAAGCCUCUGGGAAGUUCGAACUGAGUGGAGCCCACUGCAGGUCAGCAAGGCUGCUGUGGCCAGACUACAGGAUUUCUCUUCUCUGGGCAGGGCAUCUCUGAAAAAAUGGCAGCAGCCCCAGUCAGGGACUUAUAGAUAAAACUCCCGU
rnacentral:lncRNA from 10 species